rnacentral:lncRNA from 1 species
CGAAAUCGCCGCCGAAUUCUCCCACCACGACCCCACCGUCGCCCGAAUCAACAACGGCAGCUUCGGGUCCUACCCCGACUCCGUCCUCCAGGCCCAGCGCCGCUGGCAGCUCAAGUACCUCUCCCAGCCCGAUCACUUCUACUUCAACCACCUCCAAGCCGGCAUCCUCCACUCCCGCACCCUCAUCAAGGACCUCAUCAACGCCGACCACGUCGACGAGGUCUCCAUCGUCGACAACGCCACCACCGCCGCCGCCAUCGUCCUCCAGCAGGAUGCCUGGGGCUUCUCCGAGAGCAAGUUCGAGCAGGGCGACGCAGUCGUCAUGCUCCACUACGCCUACGGCGCCGUCAAGAAGUCG